rnacentral:rRNA from 1 species
AAUACAUGCAGUCGAACGAGAAAGGCCCUUCGGGGACGAGUAAAGUGGCGGACGGGUGAGGAACGCGUGGAUAACCUACCCUUCAGCGGGGGAUAACUACUCGAAAGAGUGGCUAAUACCGCAUAUGACCACAUUUUCUGAGGAUUAAGUGGUAAAAGGCUUCGGCCACUGAAGGAUGGGUCCGCGUCCGAUUAGCUUGUUGGUGGGGUAAAGGCCUACCAAGGCUGCGAUCGGUAGCUGGUCUCAGAGGAUGAUCAGCCACACUGGAACUGAGACACGGUCCAGACUCCUACGGGAGGCAGCAGUAGGGAAUAUUGCACAAUGGAGGAAACUCUGAUGCAGCGACGCCGCGUGAGCGAUGAAGGCCUUCGGGUUGUAAAGCUCUGUGAUAGGGGAAGAUAAUGACGGUACCCUAUCAGAAAGGACCGGCUAACUUCGUGCCAGCAGCCGCGGUAAUACGAGGGGUCCAAGCGUUGUUCGGAAUUACUGGGCGUAAAGCGGGUGUAGGCGGCUAGGCAAGUCGGAUGUGAAAGCCCAGGGCUCAACCCUGGAAGUGCACCCGAAACUGCUUAGCUUGAAUACUGGAGAGGGAAGUGGAAUUCCUGGUGUAGCGGUGAAAUGCGUUGAUAUCAGGAGGAACAUCGGUGGCGAAGGCGGCUUCCUGGCCAUGUAUUGACGCUCAGACCCGAAAGCGUGGGUAGCAAACAGGAUUAGAUACCCUGGUAGUCCACGCCGUANACAAUGGACACUUGGUGUUGGAGGUAUUGACCCCUUCAGUGCCGGAGCUAACGCGUUAAGUGUCCCGCCUGGGGAGUACGGUCGCAAGAUUAAAACUCAAAGAAAUUGACGGGGGCCCGCACAAGCGGUGGAGCAUGUGGUUUAAUUCGAUGCAACGCGAAAUACCUUACCUGGGUUUGAAUUG